rnacentral:rRNA from 1 species
GGCUGGGGGUGAAAGGCCAAUCAAACCGGGAGAUAGCUGGUUCUCCCCGAAAGCUAUUUAGGUAGCGCCUCGUGAACUCAUCUUCGGGGGUAGAGCACUGUUUCGGCUAGGGGGUCAUCCCGACUUACCAACCCGAUGCAAACUGCGAAUACCGAAGAAUGUUAUCACGGGAGACACACGGCGGGUGCUAACGUCCGUCGUGAAGAGGGAAACAACCCAGACCGCCAGCUAAGGUCCCAAAGUCACAGUUAAGUGGGAAACGAUGUGGGAAGGCUCAGACAGCCAGGAUGUUGGCUUAGAAGCAGCCAUCAUUUAAAGAAAGCGUAAUAGCUCACUGGUCGAGUCGGCCUGCGCGGAAGAUGUAACGGGGCUAAACUGUGCACCGAAGCUGCGGCAGCGACGCUUAUGCGUUGUUGGGUAGGGGAGCGUUCUGUAAGCCUGCGAAGGUGUCCUGUGAGGGAUGCUGGAGGUAUCAGAAGUGCGAAUGCUGACAUAAGUAACGAUAA